rnacentral:rRNA from 1 species
GGAUUAGAUACCCUGGUAGUCCACGCCGUAAACGAUGUCAACUAGUCGUUGGGGGGAUUAAAACCCUUUGGUGACGCAGUUAACGCAUUAAGUUGACCGCCUGGGGAGUACGGCCGCAAGGUUAAAACUCAAAUGAAUUGACGGGGGCCCGCACAAGCGGUGGAGCAUGUGGUUUAAUUCGAUGCAACGCGAAGAACCUUACCUGCCCUUGACAUCCUCGGAACAGUCCAGAGACGGAUUGGUGCCUUCGGGAGCCGAGUGACAGGUGCUGCAUGGCUGUCGUCAGCUCGUGCCG